rnacentral:rRNA from 1 species
GUCUAUGGUCAUGCCACCCUGAACGUGCCCGAUCUCGUCUGAUUGCUGAAGCGAAGCAGGGUCGGGCCUGGUUAGUACUUGGAUGGGAGACCACCUAGGAAGACCAGGUGCUGUAGGUG